UGGGGGGCCAGAGGGGUCGGGGAGACACGGGGAGGGGAGGAGACAGGACGGCGCGGUGGGGAGCCAAGUGCCCAGGGCUCUGGCCGCAGCCUCGCGCCCCCGCAGCCCCCUUUCCCUCCCCUUUGACCCUCGCACUCCGAAAGCUUUUCUUCUCGGCGCGUCCACGCGCGCAGAGUUUAAUCCGCGCCCGCCCCUGGCGUCGGACAAGGGUCUGAUUGGCGACAACGCCAUGUUGAGGUCUCGAGCAGCUUGAGGUGGGCGUUCCAAUUGGAGCCCGGCGGACGCCGCCCGGGGACUGACCGCGCCAAACCCGGGAGCCGGCAGGCGUGGGGGGUGGAGGGGCCCGCUGCACCUCUGCCCGCGGCCCCGCCCUGUGCCCGCCCUCGGCCGCGGGGGCGAGGUGGGUUCCUGUCUGCGCCCCAGUGUCCGGCGUGUGUCGGGACGUGGGGAGCGCGGUCGACACUGUGGGCGUGGACACCGCGCGCUGGACAAAGGCUCACUUCCUCCGCUUCCGGAUGAGUCCAUCCCCACCACAAAUCUCCACUCUGCGUAGACCCCACUCGAUCCACUCUUUUCGUGGACUCUUUUGAGGUUUCUCCAAAUAAGAGCCGUGUGCCAGCAUGCACCCGCGCCCAGAACCCCGCCUGCAGGCCCGGCCCCGCUUCCGGUGCCCGGGUGACCGCGCAGGUGGGCGGUGACUGCGCAGGUGCUGGCGGGGGGCGCCAGGGAGGAACCAGCUCUCGGGUCCACACCUCCGGAGCCUCCGGCAGAUCCCACGAGGGUCACACCUUUCCUUACACCUCCAAAGGUUUCUUCUGGAUCUCUUACUUCUUCCACUAAUUUAGCACGAAAGAAACGGGAAGCACGCAGCGGCACGCACAGGCCAGCCUUCUCUAUUUCGCGCUCUCGAGGGAAAGAGGAAAGGACUCUGCCUUGUGUCUCCGGCAAGUUUUGAGGACGAAUAAGAUAAAAGUACUGAGAAAGUUAGUAUCUGGAACCACGUGAACUCAUUCUACAUGAACCACGUUCGGGUAUUUUCGUCAGAGGCAAACACCUUCACGUUGCAAGAAUACACAGGGGUGCCCGCCGAGUUCACCGCCUGCGGCACAGACUGCGAAGAAAAUGCGCCCUCAGCUGGUCAAAGCAAUGAAAAUACGUGUUUAAUUAGCUGAGAUAACAUAUUUGUGAGAAAAAAAAACCCCACAUUCUUACAGACCAAAUAGAGUGCUGAUCAUAAGUGUUUUCAGACAAAAUGAGCGCUUCACGGGUGUUCUCAUAUCUCUGCAUAAUUUUGGACUAGAUAUAAUUUCUCGUUCCAGUGGGUUUGAGGAAAAGGGCUCAUUGAUGCUGAGGUGAAGGCAGAGAAAGGGCUCCGAAUUUCUGGAAGAGACUCCAGCGCCCUGGUUGGGGUCCAGCGAUGCCCACCCACGCAGGAGCCGCAGGCUGUGGAACCAGACGCCCGGUGCAGAUGCUUCCUCACGCCGGCUGUGCGACACUGGGCCGCCCAACUUCGUGCCUCAGUUUCCUCACCCCAUGGUGUUGUAAUGACUAUUAACAGAGCUGGGAUGCUGCCUGCAGAGCGAGCCACAACGUGGGGGUUGAGGACGACGACGACGACGAUUUUCACGCAGGUUUUCCACUUUAAUAAGAUUGGAAAGGGGCCCUUUCACGUUUGCAAGGGGCUAGUUCCAUAGAUGGGUAUCAGCGUAAAUCGUUGUCAUCUUGGACACGCGCAGCUCGUCCAGCCUGGUCCUGAAAUGAGGGUUAUGGGGAGCAGACAGUUCCCCCUGCUGGGAAACGGAGGGAUUGCAGGGCCCUUGGCAAUGUGGAUUGUACCUGAAAAGUUUUUAUGUUUAUGAAUUUGGGGGGUUUAUGGUUAUAAAAGCAAUGAAUAUUACAAACAAAAAUACAUAAAUAUAUAAUUUAAUGAUGAAAAUUUGUAGUUACUUUGCUCUCCCAUCUAGAGAAGGUCUAGUCACAACUGUGGUACCAGCUACCUGACGUUUGCGGGGAGUUCACCUCGAGCUGUCAGUGUGUCACGUCCAUCUGAUGAGGUGUGUGCCGCUGUCACCUCACUUGAACGAGAGAGGGAGCCUGCACAUCACGGAGACCCUGGGGAUGUGAGAGGGUUAGCGGGGCCCUGAAAUAAGCUGUAGGCUUAUGUCAGGCGGUUCUGGAGAGGGCUCGAGGAAGUGGGUGCUGGCGCUGAGUCAUGUUGCAUCAGGAAAGGCCACAUCUUGUCUUGUGGUUGUGGUGUUUGUCUUCUCUGGGCUCAGCUACGGCUGUUCAGUGGUCUUGGUUUUGUCUCGCUCUGCCGUGAUUACAGGUGGCUUGUCUGAUGUGGAUAUUUGGUGGAACCCAUUGUCUCAGCAUCAGAUCAUCAUGGCCUGGCGCCUGGUUGCCAGGCCAACCACCAGCUGUCAGGGAUUUUUUUCCUUCUCUUAGGUUCUCCUUGAAUCUCUCCAUCCAUCCUCCCCUUUAUCCGUCUGGGGCUGGUCUUCCUCUGCCCUCUCACCCAGUGUUGGCAUCCCCGGGGUUCUUUCCAUGAACGAUUCUUCUAGCCAUUCUAUACCUUUUCUUUCUGUUAUGUCAUCCUCUUUCAUGAUUUCAAUCCAUGCUAUACCCUUGUGACUUGCUAAUAUGUACCUUUAGCCCAUACUUUUCUAUGCUUCAGAAUGUUCUAGUCAACUUCCAGCACUUGGCACCACCUGGCUUCUCCCCCAAACACUUUGACCUCAGCCACUGCAGAAUUCAAACUGCCUUCUUUUCUCCUGAACCAUUGUCUUCUUUCUGCAGCCUCAGUCACACCUCCAUCAUCUCUGUCACCGAAAUUAAAACUCCUCCGAGGUCGUCCUUAACACUUUCAUGUCCAGUCUAAGCCCCGUAGCUGGAAGUUGUGCCCCCUGCUUUACCUCCCGUCUGUUCCUUCAGCACAGACUCUACCUCGCCCUGCCGCCCCGCCUGGCGCCGCUGCCACAGCUGCCUCCUGACCGCCCUCCCGUCUCCAGUUCUAGACGCUCCCUCCUGCAGAGAUGCUGAAAUGGUCCAGCCGCAUGGGACCUGACCCUGGCAGUCUCCCUCACGCCCCCUCGCUGACCCUCCCCACCUCUGAGAUCGAGCGGAGACCCCUAAAGCGACACACAGCACCUUUCCUAAUGCAGGAGUGAGGUGACCGUUUGGUGACCACGUGGACGAAUGAACGGCUGUCACAGCCACCUGUAGACCCGGCCUGUCUGCGCCUCAGUGUGCUCGUCUACUGUUGAAGUGGCUGGAAAAUGGACUGUAAGAAAACUUAUAGCUCUGAAAUGCUAUGAAAAAAUAAAGGAAAACAUUCUCAGAAUCAAAAUUGAAAAAAUACGUACUUAUUCAGAACAGCAGGUGGCUGUAGAACGUCGCUUUUCAGCGUAGCAUUUGAAGACAAAAUGGACCAAAUCCCCGGGGAACACCAGCAGUCACAGAGUGUGAUUUCCUAACGCUUCCGUGCUUAGUUGACAACACUGCGUCCGCCCUCUGGGUGCUCGGGGUUUGGGGAGGGUCCUGCCACGGAGUGAUGGAUGCUGACCCCGGGUCAGCGUGCCCAGGCGGCGGGGGCAGAGAGGAGGGUGGCCCUCGCCCUGGAACAGUCAGCACGAUUACUCAGAGUGGGAGACAGGCUGUGUACAGCCCAUCUGUGACCCAGCUCUAACCAAACCCCAGCUCUAACGCCUCCUGGGACCACGGUGGCAACAUCCCAGCAGGGACUCGGUGACAGCCUUUCCGUGGAGGGAGCAACAGACACUUGUUUAAAGUUGCUCUUCCGAGGACUCCACCAAGUCACAUCACAAAUAAUGUCUCCACAUUCUGACAACCGACUGAGGGUUAGAGGCUGCUGUGCCCAUCUUACAGAAGAAGAAACCUGAGACUGAGCGGUUAGGGGGAAGGUUAGAAGGAAGGGCUCCAAACUCCCGUCUGCUUGCUGCAGUGUCCAUGCUCGGUCCACUCCGCCAGCCUGCUGCCGUGACCCCUGAGUGGAGCACGGCAUUGGAACACACAAGCGCACGGAGUUGAGGAGGGCCCAUGUAGACCUGUGCUACGCCUAGAGAAUGGCCGCAUCUCAGCAUCAGUUCCAAGUCACCCGGUGAUGGGAGAAUGAAGUACUGAGCUCGAAUAACGUCAUCUGGACCCGAAAGUUUAAUAAGAAGCAACACAGGCUGCAUUCACUGAGCGCUUCACGGUGUGUGGCACUAUUGUUGGGACACGGUGUGUAUCACUGUCUUUAUUCUCAGGGCAACCCUCUGGGGUUGGUGCGGUUAUUACAUCCACUUGCAGAUGGGGCCCUGAGACACAGAGAGUGUAAACCACUUGUCCACGGUCACACAGCGGGUUGCUGUCAGAGCCAGAACAAAGCCUAGACCCAGCUUCUUGGUCUGAGGCCUCGGCGCCCGACCACUGUGCAAAUGACGACAAUGAUAGCGAUCACCCUCACACAGCCCUUCUCCAAGCCAGGCGUGUCUGAGCAUGCAGGAGUUCUUCCUGCCCUCACGGCACCACGAGCAAUGUGCAGCCGUGGCUUCUGCACUUCAGAUGAGGAAACUGAGGCACAGAGAAGCUGAGUGCCUGUUCCCAGAUGACACAGGUGGUGAGUGGCAGAGCUCCCCUGUCCUGCACAGGUCUCCCCGUCGUCCACAAACUGACCUCAGACACCUCCCAGGAAGGUCUGCACCCCUGCACAUUCCCGCAGCAUCCUCGUCACCUGCCAGGCCCCGUCUCUCUUGAUUUCAGGAAAUGUAACUGCCAAACAAUGAAUUGGAUUGCCAUACAGAUGGAGAUGAGAAGAGAAUGUGCUUAAAUAUACGAUGUUCUGCACCGUUUAGCACCUCUGUUGAGGAGGAACAGUCGUCCCCACGCUCGGGGAGCCUGCACGGGGCGGUGUCCCUGUUGUGUGGGGGCUCCCUCAUGGCUGCUCCAUCAGAGAACAGGACAGCUGCUGGCCCUGAGUCUCACAGGAUGUCAGUGCAGCAUGACGACGUCUUCAAGUCCACCUGACAAGCUUUCAGGUCCAUUCUUCUGGAGAUGCACCCGGCAGAAGGGGACAGUUCUUAUCCACGAGUGUCUCGUUGUCACCAUUUCCACUCCUCAGACUCAAAGGAAGAUACCUCUUCUCUAAGUGAAGCAAAAUCCCCAAGUGUUUUUCUCCUUCUAGUGUCCUGUACGUACACGUAUGCACACAGCAUAUGAAAUAAAAAUGCUUUGCUUUAGUAAAACGGUGAUAAAUUUCUGGUUUGGGAAGUUUAAUCAAUUUAUGAAUGCAUCAUUUAUUAAAUUUAUAGAAAUAUUUAUCUCAUAUGAUCUUGGCAUAUAGUUAGAGAAUACUAGUGGGCUUAAGAAAAAUAAAAAUCAUUGAAAUCUCAAAUGUAAAACAAAUUCAUUAUGGAUUUUUUUGGUGUUUACAAACCACCAUAUGAGUUAUAAAAUACUUUAUAAUCAA